AUUGAACGCUGGCGGCAGGCUUAACACAUGCAAGUCGAGCGGGGGAAGGUAGCUUGCUACCGGACCUAGCGGCGGACGGGUGAGUAAUGCUUAGGAAUCUGCCUAUUAGUGGGGGACAACAUCUCGAAAGGGAUGCUAAUACCGCAUACGUCCUACGGGAGAAAGCAGGGGAUCUUCGGACCUUGCGCUAAUAGAUGAGCCUAAGUCGGAUUAGCUAGUUGGUGGGGUAAAGGCCUACCAAGGCGACGAUCUGUAGCGGGUCUGGGAGGAUGAUCCGCCACACUGGGACUGAGACACGGCACAGACUCCUACGGGAGGCAGCAGUGGGGAAUAUUGGACAAUGGGGGGAACCCUGAUCCAGCCAUGCCGCGUGUGUGAAGAAGGCCUUAUGGUUGUAAAGCACUUUAAGCGAGGAGGAGGCUACUCUAGUUAAUACCUAGGGAUAGUGGACGUUACUCGCAGAAUAAGCACCGGCUAACUCUGUGCCAGCAGCCGCCGUAA
rnacentral:rRNA from 1 species